rnacentral:rRNA from 1 species
GACGAACGCUGGCGGCGUGCCUAACACAUGCAAGUCGAACGGAAAGGCCCUGCUUUUGUGCGGUGCUCGAGUGGCGAACGGGUGAGUAACACGUGAGUAACCUGCACUUGACUUUGUGAUAACUUCAGGAAACUGGGGCUAAUACCGCAUAGGAUCUCCUGCUGCAUGGUGGUGGUUGGUAAGUUUCGGCGGUUGGUGAUGGACUCGCGGCUUAUCCGCUUGUUGGGGGGGUAGUGGCUUACCAAGGCUUUGACGGGUAGCCGGCCUGAGAGGGUUACCGGCCACAUUGGGACUGAGAUACGGACCAGACUCGUAUGUGAGGCAGCAGUGGAGAAUAUUGCACAAUGGGGGGAAGCCUGAUGCAGCAACGCCGCGUGCGGGAUGACGGGCUUCGGGUGGUAAACCGAUGUCGCCUGUGCCGAGGCGUUAGUGACGGUAAUGGGUAAAGAAGCACCGGCUAACUACGUG